rnacentral:misc_RNA from 1 species
AGAUUUCCAUUUUCCACCGACGUUGGAUAGGGAGAGAGCGUCUGGUCGGGAUCAAGAUCAGCCCACCAGCCACAACCAUAACCACAAGACCAAAAAUCACUAAAAAUCAAUACCAGAAUCCACUGUCGGUGGCCGCUUAUCGGCAUCUCCUCUCCUUCUAUCUCAUUUAUCUUGCCAAUUCUAAAACCGCAAACACGGAUAUUUACAAAGAUAUUGAUUGGAGCACUGACAAGAUGACGACAGCAGGCGGGGGGGGCGGCCGUUACAUGGCCUAUUCUCCGUCUCCGUCUGCCCCUCACUCUCCUCAUCUUUCUGGCAUCCGCUCCGCCUCCUCCGCUCUCGUCGAGCAAGAAAAGUAUCUUUCAGAGUUAUUAGCAGAGCGGCAUAAGCUUAGCCCAUUUAUGCCUGUGCUUCCUCAUACGUAUCGAUUGUUAAACCAAGAAAUAUUGCGUGUAACUACACUGUUGGGGAAUGCAUCAGUUUUAGGUCAAAGUGGGCUUGAACAUGCUAGCCCUAUGGCUUCUGGAGGAAUAUUUUCAAAGGGAGGAGCCAAUUCAAAUGGAUGGGCAUCACGGUUUCAA